rnacentral:rRNA from 1 species
AGCAGCCGCGGUAAUUCCAGCUCCAAUAGCGUAUAUUAAAGUUGUUGCAGUUAAAAAGCUCGUAGUUGAAUUUCGGAAUCUGUCCGUCGGUCGGGCUUAACUGUCCGUACUGGUGUGGUGGGUUCUUACCUUCUGAAUAACCAGCAUGCCAUUAAUUUGGUGCGUUGGGGAAGCAGGACUAUUACCUUGAAAAAAUUAGAGUGCUCAAAGCAGGCUAGUGCCUGAAUACAUUAGCAUGGAAUAAUAAAAUAGGACGGCAUGGUUCUAUUUUGUUGGUUUCUAGGAUCACCGUAAUGAUUAAUAGGGAUAGUUGGGGGCAUUAGUAUUCAAUUGUCAGAGGUGAAAUUCUUGGAUUUAUUGAAGACUAACUUCUGCGAAAGCAUUUGCCAAGGAUGUUUUCAUUAAUCAAGAACGAAAGUUAGGGGAUCGAAGACGAUCAGAUACCGUCGUAGUCUUAACCAUAAACUAUGCCGACUAGGGAUCGGACGAUGUUAAUUUUUUAAUGACUCGUUCGGCGCCU